rnacentral:rRNA from 1 species
GACGGGGGGGGCAAGUGUUCUUCGGAAUGACUGGGCGUAAAGGGCACGUAGGCGGUGAAUCGGGUUGAAAGUGAAAGUCGCCAAAAAGUGGCGGAAUGCUCUCGAAACCAAUUCACUUGAGUGAGACAGAGGAGAGUGGAAUUUCGUGUGUAGGGGUGAAAUCCGUAAAUAUACGAAGGAACACCAGCGGCGAAGGCGGCUUUCUGGUCUGAUACUGACGCUGAGGCGCGAAAGCGUGGGGAGCGAUCCGG